rnacentral:tRNA from 1 species
GGGCCUGUAGCUCAGUUUGGCCUAGAGCACCUGGCUCAUAACCAGGGGGACGUGGGUUCAAAUCCCAUCAGGCCCACCA